rnacentral:rRNA from 1 species
GACGAACGCUGGCGGCGUGCCUAAUACAUGCAAGUAGAACGCUGAAGAGAGGAGCUUGCUCUUCUUGGAUGAGUUGCGAACGGGUGAGUAACGCGUAGGUAACCUGCCUUGUAGCGGGGGAUAACUAUUGGAAACGAUAGCUAAUACCGCAUAACAAUGGAUGACACAUGUCAUUUAUUUGAAAGGGGCAAUUGCUCCACUACAAGAUGGACCUGCGUUGUAUUAGCUAGUAGGUGAGGUAACGGCUCACCUAGGCGACGAUACAUAGCCGACCUGAGAGGGUGAUCGGCCACACUGGGACUGAGACACGGCCCAGACUCCUACGGGAGGCAGCAGUAGGGAAUCUUCGGCAAUGGGGGCAACCCUGACCGAGCAACGCCGCGUGAGUGAAGAAGGUUUUCGGAUCGUAAAGCUCUGUUGUAAGUCAAGAACGAGUGUGAGAGUGGAAAGUUCACACUGUGACGGUAGCUUACCAGAAAGGGACGGCUAACUACGUGCCAGCAGCCGCGGUAAUACGUAGGUCCCGAGCGUUGUCCGGAUUUAUUGGGCGUAAAGCGAGCGCAGGCGGUUUGAUAAGUCUGAAGUUAAAGGCUGUGGCUCAACCAUAGUUCGCUUUGGAAACUGUCAAACUUGAGUGCAGAAGGGGAGAGUGGAAUUCCAUGUGUAGCGGUGAAAUGCGUAGAUAUAUGGAGGAACACCGGUGGCGAAAGCGGCUCUCUGGUCUGUAACUGACGCUGAGGCUCGAAAGCGUGGGGAGCGAACAGGAUUAGAUACCCUGGUAGUCCACGCCGUAAACGAUGAGUGCUAGGUGUUGGAUCCUUUCCGGGAUUCAGUGCCGCAGCUAACGCAUUAAGCACUCCGCCUGGGGAGUACGACCGCAAGGUUGAAACUCAAAGGAAUUGACGGGGGCCCGCACAAGCGGUGGAGCAUGUGGUUUAAUUCGAAGCAACGCGAAGAACCUUACCAGGUCUUGACAUCCCGAUGCUAUUUCUAGAGAUAGAAAGUUACUUCGGUACAUCGGUGACAGGUGGUGCAUGGUUGUCGUCAGCUCGUGUCGUGAGAUGUUGGGUUAAGUCCCGCAACGAGCGCAACCCCUAUUGUUAGUUGCCAUCAUUCAGUUGGGCACUCUAGCGAGACUGCCGGUAAUAAACCGGAGGAAGGUGGGGAUGACGUCAAAUCAUCAUGCCCCUUAUGACCUGGGCUACACACGUGCUACAAUGGUUAGUACAACGAGUUGCGAGUCGGUGACGGCAAGCUAAUCUCUUAAAGCCAAUCUCAGUUCGGAUUGUAGGCUGCAACUCGCCUACAUGAAGUCGGAAUCGCUAGUAAUCGCGGAUCAGCACGCCGCGGUGAAUACGUUCCCGGGCCU